CCUACGGGUGGCAGCAGUGGGGAAUAUUGCACAAUGGGGGAAACCCUGAUGCAGCGACGCCGCGUGAGCGAUGAAGUAUUUCGGUAUGUAAAGCUCUAUCAGCAGGGAAGAAAAUGACGGUACCUGACUAAUAAGCCCCGGCUAACUACGUGCCAGCAGCCGCGGUAAUACGUAGGGGGCAAGCGUUAUCCGGAUUUAAUGGGUUUAAAGUGAGCGUAGACGGUCCUGCAAGUCAGAUGGGAAAGCCCGGGGCUCAACCCCGGGAUUGCAGUUGGAACUGUAAGGCUAGAGUGUCGGAGAGGCAGGCGGAAGUCCUAGUGUAGCGGUGAAAUGCGUAGAUAUUAGGAGGAACACCAGUGGCGAAGGCGGCUUGCUGGACGAUGACUGACGUUGAGGCUCGAAAGCGUGGGGAGCAAACAGGAUUAGAUACCCCUGUAGUC
rnacentral:rRNA from 1 species